rnacentral:rRNA from 1 species
UACGUAGGGGGCAAGCGUUGUCCGGAAUCAUUGGGCGUAAAGCGCGUGUAGGCGUUUCAGUAAGUCUGCUGUGAAAGUCCAGGGCUCAACCCUGGGAUGCCGGUGGAUACUGCUGGGCUAGAGUACGGAAGAGGCGAGUGGAAUUCCCGGUGUAGCGGUGAAAUGCGCAGAUAUCGGGAGGAACACCAAUGGCGAAGGCAGCUCGCUGGGACGGUACUGACGCUGAGGCGCGAAAGCGUGGGGAGCAAACAGG